UUUGAUGGAGAUUUAAUCUUGCAGAUUUGAUGGAGCUGCAGUGGAACCUCGAAAGGGGAUAAGAAGUGGUCAUGUACCUGGCAGCAAGUGCAUUCCUUUUGCCCAGUUGUUGGACGCUUCACAGUCACUCUUACCUGCAGAUGAGCUGAAGAGACGAUUUGAUCAAGAAGGCAUCUCUUUGGAAAGCCCUGUGGUAACUUCAUGUGGCACUGGAGUAACUGCAUGCAUCCUUGCCUUGGGUCUCCACCGACUCGGGAAGCCUGAUGUUGCAGUCUAUGAUGGAUCUUGGACUGAGUGGGGAGCACAUCCUAAUACACCUGUCGACACUUCCUAAAUGUUUAUGCAACAUAAACAUGAGUUACUCGGACAAUGAGGAAAGUGGUUGUAUUAAUAACAGUUAAAAAUAUCAUUUGCAGUUUUGUGUUUGUUUCUAAAAUCUCAUCAUGUGAUGUUGAAUUGGAAAAGUGAUCAUUUAUGGGGAGCCCAAGAAACAAAACAUGGGGGAAGAGACAUUAUGUACAUUGGGGUGGCAUUCUCAGGUUUCAUAUUUUGUUGAUCAAACAUAAAUAAUCAGCAGGCAUGCUCUUCUUUUAAGAAUCCACCUCCUACUUACUAGCCAGCUCCUUUGGCACUA